UUAUGUAUGGUUAACUAAUUUUGGCUCCAGACACUAAAUGUUUGUUCCAUCGAAACUGAAUUUUGAGUUGAAAUAAAGUUCCAUGAAUACUAUUUUUUUUCUGCUAUUUAUUUCAUAGUUGUGAAAGUGAAAUUUCGUUAGUUCUACUGUUUGUUUGGUAGAAAGUAUAUGAUGUAAAAUUAUUAAAAAAUUUUAAAAAUAAAAAUGAUAUAAUUAUAUUUUUUAUAUAAUUAAAAUUUAAUUUUAAAUAAUUAAAUUAUUUUUUAUACAUAAAUUAUAGUAAUACAAUAAUAAAAUUAUAAAGUAAAAUAUUAUUAAUACUUAAUUAAUCAAUUUCUAUUAUUUUUUAAUUGUACAAAGUGCAAACUAAAUAAAAAAUAUUAAAUAAUUUUAGUUGUAAAUGAAAGUGUUUUUUUACAAGAAAACGACUUUUUUUCUCUCCAUUUCAACCCACUUUUAUCCAAACAAACAUGCCAAACUUAGGUGAA
rnacentral:lncRNA from 1 species